AUUGAACGCUGGCGGCAGGCCUAACACAUGCAAGUCGAACGGUAACAGGAAGAAGCUUGCUUCUUUGCUGACGAGUAGCGGACGGGUGAGUAAUGUCUGGGAAACUGCCUGAUGGAGGGGGAUAACUACUGGAAACGGUAGCUAAUACCGCAUAACGUCGCAAGACCAAAGAGGGGGACCUUCGGGCCUCUUGCCAUCGGAUGUGCCCAGAUGGGAUUAGCUUGUUGGUGGGGUAACGGCUCACCAAGGCGACGAUCCCUAGCUGGUCUGAGAGGAUGACCAGCCACACUGGAACUGAGACACGGUCCAGACUCCUACGGGAGGCAGCAGUGGGGAAUAUUGCACAAUGGGCGCAAGCCUGAUGCAGCCAUGCCGCGUGUAUGAAGAAGGCCUUCGGGUUGUAAAGUGCUUUCAGCGGGGAGGAAGGGAGUAAAGUUAAUACCUUUGCUCAUUGACGUUACCCGCAGAAGAAGCACCGGCUAACUCCGUG
rnacentral:rRNA from 1 species